AGUUGAUUUUGUAUGCUAAAGAUGGUUUCUUUAAUCUUGGUAUUCAUAGUGCAUAUAUUCAAAAACAUACCAAGUACACAUUAUCAUAUCUAUGAUCAAUAAACAAUAAUGCCAUGGAUAAAAACUCUCAAUCAAGCAUAUAGAGAAUUCAUAGAAUUAUUCUUAAUAAAUUAAUCAUUUUGCAACUUAUCCAAUAGUGAGUAAAGUAUACUAUAAAAUGAAGUGAUUUGAUUAUAUUUUCAAAAGUAUUUUCUAUAUCACAAAAUUGAUCAAUACAUGCAAUUCAUAUUUUAAUCGAAUACUAAAGUAAUUUCAAUAUGAGAGGAUGCAAUAAUAACUUAUAUCAUUAUUUCUUUUAUUUAACUCAUUCUUCUUAAUUACAUUUUAAAUUCAAUUCCUUAGCACAUGUCUAGAGCACCCAUUGUUUAGAUAACAUCUUUUAUUAGAACCUUGGAUAGCUAGACAUAUUUGCUGAAGAAUAAUCAUAUUU
rnacentral:lncRNA from 1 species